CCCUUAGAUGUCCGGGGCCGCACGCGCGCUACAAUGGAUGAAUCAACGCGUCGUCCUGGCCCGAAAGGGUUGGGGAACCGCUGAACCUCAUCCGUGGUUGGGAUUGGGGUUUGUAAUUAUUCCCCAUGAACUAGGAAUUCCCAGUAAGCGCGAGUCAUAAGCUCGCGUUGAUUACGUCCCUGCCCUUUGUACACACCGCCCGUCGCUACUACCGAUUGGAUGGUUUAGUGAGACCCUCGGAUCGGUCCCGACUCGGGGUGGGCUUCUGCCCCGGUCGUGGUUUCGCCGAGAAGACGGUCAAACUUGACUAUCUAGAGGAAGUAAAAGUCGUAACA
rnacentral:rRNA from 1 species